rnacentral:tRNA from 1 species
GGGCUAUUAGCUCAGUUGGUUAGAGCGCACCCCUGAUAAGGGUGAGGCCCCUGGUUCAAGUCCAGGAUAGCCCA